rnacentral:rRNA from 1 species
GGGCUGCAGCAAGGAAUAUUGUGCAAUGGGCGAAAGCCUGACACAGCGACGUCGCGUGGGGGAAGAAGGCCUUCGGGUUGUAAACCCCUUUUCUCAGGGAAGAAUAAUGACGGUACCUGAGGAAUAAGUCUCGGCUAACUACGUGCCAGCAGCCGCGGUAAUACGUAGGAGGCGAGCGUUAUCCGGAUUUACUGGGCGUAAAGAGCGCGCAGGUGGCUUUUCAAGUCGGAUGUAAAAUCUCCCGGCUCAACUGGGAGGGACCAUUCGAUACUGUUGGGCUAGAGGGCAGCAGAGGGAGGUGGAAUUCCCGGUGUAGUGGUGAAAUGCGUAGAUAUCGGGAGGAACACCAGUGGCGAAGGCGACCUCCUGGGCUGUACCUGACACUGAGGCGCGAAAGCGUGGGGAGCGAACAGGAUUAGAUACCCCAGUAGUC